rnacentral:rRNA from 1 species
UACAGAGGGUGCAAGCGUUGUUCGGAAUCAUUGGGCGUAAAGGGCGCGUAGGCGGUUUUUGUAAGUCGAAUGUGAAAGCCCCAGGGCUCAACCUUGGAAGUGCAUCCGAAACUGCGAAACUUGAAUCCUGGAGAGGGUGGUAGAAUUCCCAGUGUAGAGGUGAAAUUCGUAGAUAUUGGGAGGAAUACCGGUGGCGAAGGCGACCGCCCUGGACAGAGAUUGACGCUGAGGCGCGAGAGCGUGGGGAGCAGACAGG